AGACCCGAAACCCGGUGAUCUAGCCAUGGGCAGGUUGAAGGUUGGGUAACACUAACUGGAGGACCGAACCGACUAAUGUUGAAAAAUUAGCGGAUGACCUGUGGCUGGGGGUGAAAGGCCAAUCAAACCGGGAGAUAGCUGGUUCUCCCCGAAAGCUAUUUAGGUAGCGCCUCGUGAAUUCAUCUCCGGGGGUAGAGCACUGUUUCGGCUAGGGGGCCAUCCCGGCUUACCAACCCGAUGCAAACUGCGAAUACCGGAGAAUGUUAUCACGGGAGACACACGGCGGGUGCUAACGUCCGUCGUGAAGAGGGAAACAACCCAGACCGCCAGCUAAGGUCCCAAAGUCAUGGUUAAGUGGGAAACGAUGUGGGAAGGCCCAGACAGCCAGGAUGUUGGCUUAGAAGCAGCCAUCAUUUAAAGAAAGCGUAAUAGCUCACUGGUCGAGUCGGCCUGCGCGGAAGAUGUAACGGGGCUAAACCAUGCACCGAAGCUGCGGCAGCGAACGUAUCACUUAAAGCGAUUCAGCGGGUUACGAUUGACGGAGCGAAGCGACGUCAAAGCGUAUACAAAGUCGAGUCGGUUUAAGGAUACGUUCGUUGGGUAGGGGAGCGUUCUGUAAGCCUGUGAAGGUGUGUCGUGAGGCAUGCUGGAGGUAUCAGAAGUGCGAAUGCUGACAUAAGUAACGAUAAAGCGGGUGAAAAGCCCGCUCGCCGGAAGACCAAGGGUUCCUGUCCAACGUUAAUCGGGGCAGGGUGAGUCGACCCCUAAGGCGAGGCCGAAAGGCGUAGUCGAUGGGAAACGGGUUAAUAUUCCCGUACUUGGUGUUACUGCGAAGGGGGGACGGAGAAGGCUAUGUUGGCCGGGCGACGGUUGUCCCGGUUUAAGCGUGUAGGUGUGUGUUCCAGGUAAAUCCGGUUCACUUUAACACUGAGGCGUGACGACGAGGCACUACGGUGCUGAAGCAACAAAUGCCCUGCUUCCAGGAAAAGCCUCUAAGCAUCAGGUAACAUCAAAUCGUACCCCAAACCGACACAGGUGGUCAGGUAGAGAAUACCAAGGCGCUUGAGAGAACUCGGGUGAAGGAACUAGGCAAAAUGGUGCCGUAACUUCGGGAGAAGGCACGCUGACACGUAGGUGAAGUGAUUUACUCAUGGAGCUGAAGUCAGUCGAAGAUACCAGCUGGCUGCAACUGUUUAUUAAAAACACAGCACUGUGCAAACACGAAAGUGGACGUAUACGGUGUGACGCCUGCCCGGUGCCGGAAGGUUAAUUGAUGGGGUCAGCGCAAGCGAAGCUCCUGAUCGAAGCCCCGGUAAACGGCGGCCGUAACUAUAACGGUCCUAAGGUAGCGAAAUUCCUUGUCGGGUAAGUUCCGACCUGCACGAAUGGCGUAAUGAUGGCCAGGCUGUCUCCACCCGAGACUCAGUGAAAUUGAACUCGCUGUGAAGAUGCAGUGUACCCGCGGCAAGACGGAAAGACCCCGUGAACCUUUACUAUAGCUUGACACUGAACAUUGAGCCUUGAUGUGUAGGAUAGGUGGGAGGCUUUGAAGUGUGGACGCCAGUCUGCAUGGAGCCGACCUUGAAAUACCACCCUUUAAUGUUUGAUGUUCUAACGUGGACCCGUGAUCCGGGUUGCGGACAGUGUCUGGUGGGUAGUUUGACUGGGGCGGUCUCCUCCUAAAGAGUAACGGAGGAGCACGAAGGUUGGCUAAUCCUGGUCGGACAUCAGGAGGUUAGUGCAAUGGCAUAAGCCAGCUUGACUGCGAGCGUGACGGCGCGAGCAGGUGCGAAAGCAGGUCAUAGUGAUCCGGUGGUUCUGAAUGGAAGGGCCAUCGCUCAACGGAUAAAAGGUACUCCGGGGAUAACAGGCUGAUACCGCCCAAGAGUUCAUAUCGACGGCGGUGUUUGGCACCUCGAUGUCGGCUCAUCACAUCCUGGGGCUGAAGUAGGUCCCAAGGGUAUGGCUGUUCGCCAUUUAAAGUGGUACGCGAGCUGGGUUUAGAACGUCGUGAGACAGUUCGGUCCCUAUCUGCCGUGGGCGCUGGAGAACUGAGGGGGGCUGCUCCUAGUACGAGAGGACCGGAGUGGACGCAUCACUGGUGUUCGGGUUGUCAUGCCAAUGGCACUGCCCGGUAGCUAAAUGCGGAAGAGAUAAGUGCUGAAAGCAUCUAAGCACGAAACUUGCCCCGAGAUGAGUUCUCCCUGAGACUUAAAGUCUCCUGAAGGAACGUUGAAGACGACGACGUUGAUAGG
rnacentral:rRNA from 1 species